rnacentral:rRNA from 1 species
CCUACGGGUGGCAGCAGUCGAGAAUUUUUCUCAAUGGGGGAAACCCUGAAGGAGCGACGCCGCGUGGGGGAUGAAUGGCUUCGGCCCGUAAACCCCUGUCAUUCGGGAUCAAACGUUAUUCAUGAACAAUGGAUGGCCUGAUUGUACCGAAAGAGGAAGGGACGGCUAACUCUGUGCCAGCAGCCGCGGUAAUACAGAGGUCCCGAGCGUUGUUCGGAUUUACUGGGCGUAAAGGGUGCGUAGGCGGCAGGGUAAGUUUGAGGUGAAAGCUCCGGGCUCAACCCGGAAACGGCCUUGAAUACUAUCCUGCUUGAGGGUUGGAGGGGAGACUGGAAUUCUCGGUGUAGCAGUGAAAUGCGUAGAUAUCGAGAGGAACACCAGUGGCGAAGGCGAGUCUCUGGACAACACCUGACGCUGAGGCACGAAAGCCAGGGGAGCAAACGGGAUUAGAUACCCUUGUAGUC